ACAGACUUGUUUUUGAGAGCUCUGAACAAAAUUUGACUUUGAAAUAUUUUUACGAUUAAAAAGUUUCAGUUGACUUUUGAACGUUGACGAAGACGGACGUACUUUCGUGAGCUCUGACUAUUGAUGAAAAGUUUUCGCGUUAUAGAAUAGCGACUUGGUACUCAGGUUGUUGAAUGACUGGAUGACUGAAGUGUUAGGUUAUUGUUAUGAGAUAACAACUUGACUUUGACUUGAGUUGUGAAAUGAAAUCAUACUCUUAUGCGAUGUUAACUUUUGAACGUUUAGUAUUGACUGACAACGAAAUUUUGUGAGCGUUAUAUAUGAAAUGUUUGACUUACAUUAAUUUUUUUGAACGACUUGACUUCACUUUAAGUUUUGACAUCGGACUGAUCGGACGUGUUUUUUUAAGCUCUGACUGUUGUGAAUAAUUAAAUUUAUGUUGUGGUGUCAAGCGAUUGACUGUCAGUUGAGGUUCAGAUGUCGAGCUGUGCGGACGUGUUCAUCGAGCUGCUGUCUACAAAAAACGUGAGUACAAAUUUUUUUCGUUUUACUGUUUACAAGUUGCGUGAUGAUGUAUGAUGGUUGUAAUGUGUUGGGUAGAAAUUACUCAGUGCUGAUACAGUGUCGAUAUGUUGUGAUGAGCGAUAAUAGUGGAUGAUGGUGGAACAGAAUAUUCAUUGAGCUAUUUUGAGGAAGCGAACAUAUGAUGGAAAAAUGUUGCAAAAAUAUUAAAUGCAUGUGCUUAUAUGUACUAAAUAUGAUAUUGCUUUACUUGUAUUUGCAUGCUGUUAACAUUUCUAUUUUAUUCCAGUGGGCUGUGGUGAGUAUUGCAGAUUUAACUUGUAUGUGUGGUUUUUAGUUAACGAUGCUUAAUGAAAACUGUUAUUGUACACUUAGUAUGGAAUGAUGUGAAUGAUGAUAUGAUGGGUAGAAUUAAUCAGUGCUUGUGUCUAGAAAUGCUGAAUGUUUAUUGAAAAGGCUAAAUGCUAGCCAGUACUAAGAGUUGAGCUACCGUGGGAAUGUGAAACGAACUGAUGGUGUAAUAUGAUGGUGUAUUGACAUACUUUUCUUAUAUGUACUAAAUAUGAUAUUGCUUUACUUGUAUUUGCAUGCUGUUAACAUUUCUAUUUUGUUCCAGUGUGCUGUGGUGAGUACUGUAGAUAUUACUUGAUUUUUAGUGUCUAUGAAUGCUGAUGUAUGAUAGCUAUAGCAUGAGCUCAAUGCUAACCAGUAUUAUGAGUUGAUGUAUUGUGGUGAUGCUAAUCGAACUGAUGAUGUAACAUGAUGGUGAACACUUACUGAAUGCAUAAAAUUUAUUGAAUUGCAUUUGUUGAUAUGCACUAUAAUAUGAUAAAUGUAUUGCUUUACAUGUAUAUUUCAUGAUGUUUAAUUUCAGUGGGCUGUGGUGAGUACUGUAGAUUGUAUUGCCUAUGUAUAGAAUUCAAUAAAAGAUUAUGACUGAAAACUGCUUUUGAUUCUUUUUGAACAGUUUUAGGGACUAUAAGUCUAUAACAAAAAUAUGUCGGUUGGCGUUCAUACAGCAAUGUUUUGAGUAGUACAGAAAUGUUUCUACGUUUGUGGUCGCCAGUUGUCUGUGAUGUGUAAAGUGAAAAAUACACGGAGCUUUGAAUACAACAAACAGUUACUGUUUUAACACAGAUUGUGUGCUAUGCAUUUUUCGAUGUAGAUCUUUUUCAGAUUUGACAUGAAAUGUAGACCUGACAUUUGAACAGAGCUGGGAAACGAAAAGGUAAGUUUGUUAAAUUUCACAAUGAACACUUGUGUUUUGACAAAAGAAGAGAUAAAGUGAGUUUUGUCAUCAUCAUGGUUUCUUUCAGAGUAUAACUCGUGAACAGAUGAAAACCUAUUUUUUGCUAGAUUUUCAUGUACUCUUUUUUUGGAUGAUAAGUAUGUCAGUAACUCAAAAUCAUACGGCUAGUACAGUAUGGAACAUGAAUGCUUUGUUCAGAUUUUCAGAUGUGUGCUGGCAGUUCAAGUCUGGCAGCUGAAGUGAACAGUCGUGUUUUCUGGAGCUCCAACAAUAUGCUAGAAGGAGUGCUUAUCCAGUGAUGAUAUGACAGUUGGAGUGAACAGUGGAGCCAAGCAGUCUUGUUUUUAGAGCUACUCAACAAGCCUUGAAGGUAAGUUUAGAAUUUCUCAAUGUUAGUGAAUUGAAGUACUGUCACUUGCUUUUGGACAGUCGAACAGAACAGACGUGGUUGCGAGAGCUCUCAUAUCUGUUGUGUUAAACUGUUUUUAUGAUAUGUUAUGUUUGUUUGUUUGUUUGUGAUGUACUAUUUUUCAGAUGCUGAUGGCAAGUGAUGGGUUUUCAAGCUGACCUGAACAGAAAAGCACUCAUAUGGUAAGUACAAAAUAGUUGUUAUAUGGGAUGUUUUGUGCAUGCUUUUAUGUUUCAGGUGUACUUGCUGACAGCGACGAAGACGAAUCAAGAAGAGGAACAUUGUUGAGAAAGUGAUUGGGACUUGCAAACAGGGUAAGUGUAACACUUGUGUUUGUUUAAUUUGUAACAUGCGUGCUUUGCUCUGUUUCAGAUUUCACAUGCAGAAAUUAAACAGGAUUUCAACUGCUGAGACACAAUUCAUCAAAAGUAAGGUAAGUUUUAAUUCAUUGAUUUGAGUUGUACAAUGUGUUCUUUACUUUAUUUCAGAUUCGAGUCACUGGUUUACACAUGGAAGAAGAUUUCCACGUCUGUUACUCAACUCUACAGAAGCAAGAUGUUUUGUUUCAGUUGAUGUCCAGAUGGCAAGCAGUACAGACGUGUUUCUUGGAGCUGCCAAACAGUGAGUACAAACGUUUUAUAUUUUUCAGUUGUUUACUCAUAGAAGUCUGUGAAAGAUGAUAACAAGGGUUGAAUCUAUCAGCACUUGUGUCUAAAAAUGCUGAUGUGUGACGGUUUACUGAAAAGGGUAAAUGCUAGCCAGUACUUACACUUGAGCAACCGUGGGAUGUCGAACUAACUGAUGAUGUACUAUGAUGGUGAACACUUACUAUGUGUAUCAAAAUGCUUUUGUUGAUAUUUACUAUAGAUGAUUUGAUAUUGGUUAACAUUUGUUUGCAUGCUGUUAACAUUUCUAUUUCAUUUCAGGGAGCUGUGGUAAGUAUUGUAGUAUUAAUUUGUCUCAA